UACGUAGGGGGCAAGCGUUGUCCGGAAUUAUUGGGCGUAAAGCGCGCGCAGGCGGCUGUUUAAGUCUGGUGUUUAAUCCUGGGGCUCAACUCCGGGUCGCACUGGAAACUGGACGGCUUGAGUGCAGAAGAGGAGAGUGGAAUUCCACGUGUAGCGGUGAAAUGCGUAGAGAUGUGGAGGAACACCAGUGGCGAAGGCGACUCUCUGGGCUGUAACUGACGCUGAGGCGCGAAAGCGUGGGGAGCAAACAGGAUUAGAUACCCUGGUAGUCCACGCCGUAAACGAUGAGUGCUAGGUGUUAGGGGUUUCGAUACCCUUGGUGCCGAAGUAAACACAUUAAGCACUCCGCCUGGGGAGUACGGCCGCAAGGCUGAA
rnacentral:rRNA from 1 species